rnacentral:lncRNA from 1 species
UGUCAUCAACGUGUGACCCGUGUCUGUGUGUUCAGUGGGACGCCUCACUUCCUUCACAUUAAGGGUGUGGAGGUGAACGCUGGGCAGACGGCCACGUUUCACUGUACGGUCAACGGGCGCCCGCAGAGCGACCUGCUGCUCUACCUCCAGGUACGAUCACCAUCACCAUCACCAUCACCAUCACGAUCACGAUCACGAUCACGAUCACGAUCACCAUCACCAUCACCAUCACCAUCACCACCACGAUCACGAUCACGAUCACCAUCACCAUCACCAUCACGAUCACGAUCACCAUCACCAUCACCAUCACCACCACGAUCACCAUCACGAUCACGAUCACGAUCACCAUCACCAUCACCAUCACCAUCACGAUCACCAUCACCAUCACGAUCACGAUCACCAUCACCAUCACCAUCACCAUCACCACCACGAUCACCAUCACGAUCACGAUCACGAUCACCAUCACCAUCACCAUCACGAUCACCAUCACCAUCACCAUCACGAUCAUCACCCAUCACCCAUCACCAUCACCAUCACCCAUCACCCAUCACCCAUCACCCAUCACCAUCACCAUCACCAUCACGAUCAUCACCCAUCACCCAUCACCAUCACCAUCACCAUCACGAUCACGAUCACGAUCACAUCACCAUCACCAUCACAUCACGAUCACGAUCACGAUCACGAUCACCAUCACCAUCACCAUCACCACCACGAUCACCAUCACGAUCACGAUCACGAUCACCAUCACCAUCACCAUCACCAUCACGAUCACCAUCACCAUCACGAUCACCAUCACCAUCACCAUCACCAUCACCCACCACGAUCACCAUCACGAUCACGAUCACGAUCACCAUCACCAUCACCAUCACGAUCACCAUCACCAUCACCAUCACGAUCAUCACCCAUCACCCAUCACCAUCACCAUCACCAUCACCCAUCACCCAUCACCAUCACCCAUCACCAUCACCAUCACCAUCACGAUCAUCACCCAUCACCCAUCACCAUCACCAUCACCAUCACCAUCACCAUCACCCAUCACCCAUCACCAUCACCAUCACGAUCACGAUCACCAUCACCAUCACCCUCACCCUCACCCUCACCAUCACCAUCACCAUCACCACCAUCACCAUCACCCAUCACCCAUCACCCAUC